GAUGAACGCUGGCGGCGUGCCUAAUACAUGCAAGUCGAGCGAACAGACGAGGAGCUUGCUCCUCUGACGUUAGCGGCGGACGGGUGAGUCACACGUGGAUAACCUACCUAUAAGACUGGGAUAACUUCGGGAAACCGGAGCUAAUCCCGGAUAAUAUAUUGAACCGUAUGGUUCAAUAGUGAAAGACGGUUUUGCUGUCACUUAUAGAUGGAUCCGCGCCGCAUUAGCUAGUUGGUAAGGUAACGGCUUACCAAGGCAACGAUGCGUAGCCGACCUGAGAGGGUGAUCGGCCACACUGGAACUUGGACACGGUCCAGACUCCUACGGGAGGCAGCAGUAGGGAAUCUUCCGCAAUAGGCGAAAGCCUGACGGAGCAACGCCGCGUGAGUGAUGAAGGUCUUCGGAUCGUAAAACUCUGUUAUUAGGGAAGAACAAAUGUGUAAGUAACUAUGCACGUCUUGACGGUACCUAAUCAGAAAGCCACGGCUAACUACGUG
rnacentral:rRNA from 1 species